rnacentral:lncRNA from 1 species
GCAAGCACGGAAAUAUCGUAUCAACUGGGAGAUAUAUACCCCGUAUGCAGGUGACUUAAAGUUGUUAAUUUUUAUCGAAUGUUACAAGAUAAUUUAUUGUUUUCUCUAUCCGUCUUAAUUUGAAAAAAGUUUUUAACGAACAAAAUAAAUAUGUUUUAAAGACUAAAUGAGGUUGAUAAUUACACGCACGUGAUAACCUCUUCAAAGCAAUAUCAGGUGAAGAGACAAAUGAAUUGUUACACCUUUUAUAAUAGGUCUAAAGUUGUAAACACACCUUAAGCAUUCAACCUAGUCCGAAGUUACUCUGACGUCUGACAGAAUCAUUUUUUACAAUUGGCAUUUAUUAAUUCUGGAUUGGUAUUUAAAGAACGAUGAUGAAUUGCAUGAAAUAUUUGACAUUGGACUUUACGUAAACAAUUAGUUAAAAUAUUUGAUAUUAUUUUUCAAUCAAAGCCCUAGCUUUAACAUCCCCUGGCCCCCGUCGCUACGGGGAACCAUCUAUGAAUUAAUUUUGUGUUAAACACUUAAAAUUAAAAUAUUUGUCAAAGUUAGUAGUUUAAUGAGAUAAUAAGUGCUGAUAAAAACUUUUCCGUUUACUUCUAUAAGAAUUGUAUGAUUUUUAAGCUCAGCAUGUUAUGCGUGUUGAGCAACGGCCC